rnacentral:lncRNA from 13 species
AUGUGUUGGUAUUGGUACUACUCAUAUGUUGGCAUUGAUACUACUCAUGUAUUGGUAUUGAUACUACUCAUAUGUGUUGGUAUUGGUACUACUCAUAUGUUGGUAUUGAUACUACUCAUGUGUUGGUAUUGGUACUACUCAUGUAUUGGUAUUGAUACUACUCAUAUGUGUUGGUAUUGAUACUACUCAUGUAUUGGUAUUGAUACUACUCAUGUAUUGGUAUUGAUACUACUCAUAUG